UCACUCUGAUCUCUCUUCAGAUGUCGAAUAAAUCUUUCGCCUUUUGCUAAUGAUUUCCGUGGAGAGGGAUACUCUAAUGAGUCUAGUACAGAA